UAGAUGCCUGCAGUGCAGGAUAGAUCGGU
rnacentral:sRNA from 1 species